rnacentral:rRNA from 1 species
GAGUUUGAUCCUGGCUCAGGAUGAACGCUGGCGGCGUGCUUAACACAUGCAAGUCGAACGGGAAUUACUUUAUUGAAACUUCGGUCGAUUUAAUUUAAUUCUAGUGGCGGACGGGUGAGUAACGCGUGGGUAACCUGCCUUAUACAGGGGGAUAACAGUCAGAAAUGACUGCUAAUACCGCAUAAGACCACAGCACCGCAUGGUGCAGGGGUAAAAACUCCGGUGGUAUGAGAUGGACCCGCGUCUGAUUAGGUAGUUGGUGGGGUAACGGCCUACCAAGCCGACGAUCAGUAGCCGACCUGAGAGGGUGACCGGCCACAUUGGGACUGAGACACGGCCCAAACUCCUACGGGAGGCAGCAGUGGGGAAUAUUGCACAAUGGGGGAAACCCUGAUGCAGCGACGCCGCGUGAGCGAUGAAGUAUUUCGGUAUGUAAAGCUCUAUCAGCAGGGAAGAAAAUGACGGUACCUGACUAAGAAGCACCGGCUAAAUACGUGCCAGCCGCCGCGGUAAUUC